CCACAAUCUUAACCUCACCACAGAACAAAUCAAGCGGCAGGCGGAUCGUAAGAGGCGUCCUGCCCCUGUUUACUCACCCGGUCAACAAGUCUGGUUGUCGUCCCAGGACAUCCCGCUCAAAUCUGUGUCUAAGAAGCUCUCUCCCCGUUACAUUGGCCCUUUUGAAAUUGAAACUAUAAUCAACCCAUCCGCUGUUCGCCUCUGUCUACCCACUUCCCUCCGCGUCCAUCCCACCUUCCACAUCUCUCGGAUAAAGCCCGUCCGGACCAGCCCGCUCUGCCCUCCAGCCGAACCCUCUCCGCCUCCCCGUGACAUUGCUGGUCAUCCCGCCUAUUCCGUCCGCCGGAUCGUGGACUCCCGUCGACGAGGUCGGGGUUGGCAAUAUCUUGUUGACUGGGAGGGCUACGGUCCUGAGGACCGUUCUUGGGUUCCGGGUUCAUUUAUAUUGGACCCGUCACUUGUCUCGGAUUAUCGUGCGUCGCUUCCCUCCAGCUCAUCUAGGCCGCCAGGUGGCGGCCAUUGGGGGGGGGGGUACUGUCAGGAUCCAGGGUUGUUAGGUUCUCGCUGUAGGGGUUUUGGGUGCAUGCACCACCUUUGUUUCCUCACCAGAUGGCACCAUCAGUUUGACGGAGGGCAUGGAUGACGUCAUCUCCCACACCGGCCUCGGAUUAGCUCAUCAGCGACAGGUUUUGAGGAGCGGUCUACCAGUCCUUCGGCGCCUGAGUGUUGCCCAGUUUUGUCUCCCCUUGGAUUUCCUCGACUGGAAGACGCGCCGUUUCUCGCUCCUCGCGGAUCCCAAGCCUACCUGUCUGCCCUCCAGCGCGCACACGCCCCACCCAAACCCCCAGAGAGACCGGACCCUGGACCCAGCAGCCACCCGCCGCUAGCUUUUCCCGGCUCUACUCAAUGAGCCGAUCGCUUCCUGAUCCUUCCCUUCCCGUGGACCAGACCAGAGUUUUCAUUCCCUGCCACUGUGUUCCGUUUCCUUCUCAAAUAAAUUCACUAUAUUUUCACCCACCGUAUCCUAGUGUUGUGUUCUGCAUAUGGGCUAGAAUCAAAUCCUCCCAAUA